rnacentral:lncRNA from 1 species
UGUUCUAGAACGUUCUAGAGCAGGUUCCGGAUCGCUCUAGAUCGGGUUCUAGAACAGGUUCUAGACUGGGCUCCAGGUGUCCCCAGGUGUCCCCAGGUGUGUCCCCUCACCCCCAGGUGUAUCUCAGGUGUCCCCAGGUGUGCCCAGGUGUGUUUUUGUCCCCCCAGGUGAGUUUUUAUCCCCCCAGGUGACGUUCAGGUGUGCCCAGGUGUGUCCCCUCACCCCCAGGUGAUGCUCAGGUGUCCCCAGGUGUCCCCAGGUUUGGUUCAGGUGUAUUUCAGGUGUCCCCAGGUGUUUCCAGGUGUGUUCAGGUGUGCCCAGGUACCCCCAGGUGUGCCCAGGUGUGUUUUUAUCCCCCCCAGGUGUGUUCAGGUGUCCCCAGGUGUGUUUUUAUCCCCCCCAGGUGUCCCCAGGUGUCCCCAGGUACCCCAGGUGUGUCCCCAGAUGUCCCCAGGUGUCCCCAGGUGUCCCCAGGUGUCCCCAGGUGUGCCCAGUUGUGCCCAGGUGUGUUCAGGUGUCCCCAGGUGUGCCCAGGUGUCCCCAGGUGUGCCCAGGUGUCCCCAGGUGUGUUUUUAUCCCCCCCAGGUGUCCCCAGGUGUGCCCCCAGGUGUCCCCAGGUGUCCCCAGGUGUGCCCAGGUGUCCCCAGGUGUGCCCAGGUGUGUCCAGGUGUCCCCAGGUGAUAUUCAGGUGUGCCCAGGUGUGCCCAGGUGUGUCCCAGGUGUCCCCAGGUGUCCCCAGGUGUAUCUCAGGUGUCCCUGGGUGUCCCCAGGUGAGUUUUUAUCCUCCCAGGGUGAUGUUCAGGUGUGCCCAGGUGUGUCCCAGGUGUGCCCAGGUGUGUUCCAGGUGUCCCCAGGUGUCCCCAGGUGUGUUCCAGGUGUCCCCAGGUGUCCCCAGGUGUCCCCAGGUGUCCCCAGGUGUGCCCAGGUGUGUUUUUGUCCCCCCAGGUGAGUUUUUAUCCUCCCAGGGUGAUGUUCAGGUGUCCCCAGGUGUGCCCAGGUGUGUCUCAGGUGUGUCCCUGGGUGUCCCCAGGUGUGUCCCCUCACCCCCAGGUGUAUCUCAGGUGUCCCCAGGUGAGUUUUUAUCCCCCCAGGUGAGUUUUUGUCCUCCCAGGUGA